UGGGGAAUAUUGCACAAUUGGCGCAAGCCUGAUGCAGCCAUGCCGCGUGUAUGAAGAAGGCCUUCGGGUUGUAAAGUACUUUCAGUCGGGAGGAAGGUGGUAAGGUUAAUAACCUUAUCAAUUGACGUUACCGACAGAAGAAGCACCGGCUAACUCCGUGCCAGCAGCCGCGGUAAUACGGAGGGUGCAAGCGUUAAUCGGAAUUACUGGGCGUAAAGCGCACGCAGGCGGUUGAUUGAGUCAGAUGUGAAAUCCCCGGGCUUAACCCGGGAAUUGCAUCUGAUACUGGUCAGCUAGAGUCUUGUAGAGGGGGGUAGAAUUCCAUGUGUAGCGGUGAAAUGCGUAGAGAUGUGGAGGAAUACCGGUGGCGAAGGCGGCCCCCUGGACAAAGACUGACGCUCAGGUGCGAAAGCGUGGGGAGCAAACAGG
rnacentral:rRNA from 1 species